AGCAGCCGCGGUAAUACAGAGGGUGCGAGCGUUGUUCGGAAUUAUUGGGCGUAAAGCGCAAGUAGGCGGCCUGCCAAGUCGCGUGUGAAAGCUCCCGGCUCAACCGGGAAAGUGCGCGCGAAACUGGUGGGCUUGAGUGCCGGAGAGGGUGGCGGAAUUCCCGGUGUAGAGGUGAAAUUCGUAGAUAUCGGGAGGAACACCAGAGGCGAAGGCGGCCACCUGGAAGGACACUGACGCUGAGAGGCGAAAGCGUGGGGAGCAA
rnacentral:rRNA from 1 species